AAAUUGAAGAGUUUGAUCAUGGCUCAGAUUGAACGCUGGCGGCAGGCCUAACACAUGCAAGUCGAACGGUAACAGGAAGCAGCUUGCUGCUUCGCUGACGAGUGGCGGACGGGUGAGUAAUGUCUGGGAAACUGCCUGAUGGAGGGGGAUAACUACUGGAAACGGUGGCUAAUACCGCAUAACGUCGCAAGACCAAAGAGGGGGACCUUCGGGCCUCUUGCCAUCAGAUGUGCCCAGAUGGGAUUAGCUUGUUGGUGAGGUAACGGCUCACCAAGGCGACGAUCCCUAGCUGGUCUGAGAGGAUGACCAGCCACACUGGAACUGAGACACGGUCCAGACUCCUACGGGAGGCAGCAGUGGGGAAUAUUGCACAAUGGGCGCAAGCCUGAUGCAGCCAUGCCGCGUGUAUGAAGAAGGCCUUCGGGUUGUAAAGUACUUUCAGCGGGGAGGAAGGUGUUGUGGUUAAUAACCGCAGCAAUUGACGUUACCCGCAGAAGAAGCACCGGCUAACUCCGUGCCAGCAGCCGCGGUAAUACGGAGGGUGCAAGCGUUAAUCGGAAUUACUGGGCGUAAAGCGCACGCAGGCGGUCUGUCAAGUCGGAUGUGAAAUCCCCGGGCUCAACCUGGGAACUGCAUUCGAAACUGGCAGGCUUGAGUCUUGUAGAGGGGGGUAGAAUUCCAGGUGUAGCGGUGAAAUGCGUAGAGAUCUGGAGGAAUACCGGUGGCGAAGGCGGCCCCCUGGACAAAGACUGACGCUCAGGUGCGAAAGCGUGGGGAGCAAACAGGAUUAGAUACCCUGGUAGUCCACGCCGUAAACGAUGUCUACUUGGAGGUUGUGCCCUUGAGGCGUGGCUUCCGGAGCUAACGCGUUAAGUAGACCGCCUGGGGAGUACGGCCGCAAGGUUAAAACUCAAAUGAAUUGACGGGGGCCCGCACAAGCGGUGGAGCAUGUGGUUUAAUUCGAUGCAACGCGAAGAACCUUACCUGGUCUUGACAUCCACAGAAGAAUCCAGAGAUGGAUUUGUGCCUUCGGGAACUGUGAGACAGGUGCUGCAUGGCUGUCGUCAGCUCGUGUUGUGAAAUGUUGGGUUAAGUCCCGCAACGAGCGCAACCCUUAUCCUUUGUUGCCAGCGGUCCGGCCGGGAACUCAAAGGAGACUGCCAGUGAUAAACUGGAGGAAGGUGGGGAUGACGUCAAGUCAUCAUGGCCCUUACGACCAGGGCUACACACGUGCUACAAUGGCGCAUACAAAGAGAAGCGACCUCGCGAGAGCAAGCGGACCUCAUAAAGUGCGUCGUAGUCCGGAUUGGAGUCUGCAACUCGACUCCAUGAAGUCGGAAUCGCUAGUAAUCGUGGAUCAGAAUGCCACGGUGAAUACGUUCCCGGGCCUUGUACACACCGCCCGUCACACCAUGGGAGUGGGUUGCAAAAGAAGUAGGUAGCUUAACCUUCGGGGGGGCGCUUACCACUUUGUGAUUCAUGACUGGGGUGAAGUCGUAACAAGGUAACCGUAGGGGAACCUGCGGUUGGAUCACCUCCUUA
rnacentral:rRNA from 1 species